AGUACACUGAGAGGUGGCAACAGAGGGAGUGCCUAGAAGUAGCAAUGUGAAGCGAGGGCCAUUCUGACUCUCUACGGACAGUGAAUUAAGAGAUGCAACUUGUCCUGGCUGCCCAACCAAACAAAAGAGGCUGCACCUACCCACAUGGCAAGGAGAAGUUUUCAUGUGCUUGGAGUAAAAAUUCCCUACCUCACCAAUAGGUUCGAGGCCCUUCUGCCAAGACAGCUUUACCAGGAUAUGGCUGCCGCACUUGCUUCAGC